GUAGUCCCAGCUACUCAGGGAGGCUAAGGCAGGAGAAUCGUUUGAAACAGGGAGGUGGAGGUUGCAGUGAGCCGAGAUUGUGCCACUGCACUCCAGCCUGGGUGACAGGGCAAGAUUCCGUCUCAAAGCAAACAAAAAACAAAAAACAAAAAUGGCCAGGCACACUGAUGUCCUGCCCUUUAGAAAACAAGUGUGAAAUUGGGCUGGGCGUGGUGCCUGGCGCCCGUAAUCCCAGCACUUUGGGAGGCCAAGGUGGGCAGAUCACUAGGUCAAGAGAUUGAGACCAUCCUGGCCAACAUGGUGAAACCCCGUCUCUACUAAAAAUACAAGAAAAAGUAGCUGGGCAUGGUGGUGUGCACCUGUAGUCCCAGCUACUUGGGAGGCCGAGGCAGGAGAAUCGCUUGAACCCGGGAGGCAGAGGUUGCGGUGAGCCAAGAUGGUGCCAUUGCACUCCAGCCUGGGCAACAAGAGCAAAAUUCCGUCUCAAAAAAAAAAAAAAAAGGAAAAGAAAAAGAAAAAAAAGAAAACAGGUGUGAAAUUAUUAGAACAAUGCAUGCUGGUUAUUACCAAUACAUACCAUCAACCACAGGCUCAGUGAUUUUUAAAAUAAAUAACAGCAUCAUUUAUGUGGAGAAGUAUUGCAAAUGCUUGGAGUCCACGGAGGGUUCACACAUAGUCUCAUUUAAUCCUCACAGCAAACUUAACAGUAGCUAUUAUUAUAGUCCCCCAUUUUAAAUUGAGGAGACUGAGGCUCAGAGAGGGUAAGACAUUUAGACAAAGUCACUGCAGUGGUAACGCUCCCCUUUUAUUUUCCUUUUUUUAAAUUUAAAAUUUUUGCCCACCUGUAGUGGCAACUCUUGAACCCAGGUCUUACUGACCCCAGAGAGUCAGCCACUGCUCCCUGUUGCCUUCCUGGGCCAGAGACUCUCACGGGGCUGUCUGCACUAAAGUGUUCUUUCUAUCCCCUGGCGCCCUGAGCAUCAAAGAAGCUUUACUCACUACGUGGGGACCCCUCGCCUUGGAUCACAAAGAGUCUCGACCUUCCUGGACAUCAGCUCAGACCAGAUGAUGUUAAAAAGCUUCGUUGCCGUUGCUGUCUGAUUGAUUACCAGCCAGAUACUCCCUGAACCCAUGCCCAGCCACCCACGCCUCCCUAAUUUCAAGGUCUGAAGGCCAGAUGGACUCAAGCAAGCCAUUUGCCUUUCUGAAAUCUCAGCUGCCUCAUCUGAGCAAGUGAGAUAAGCCGGCUUAUCUUGCCGCUGUGAAGCUGUCUGCAAGGCAAGGUGCCUAAUAAACGUCAGCCAUUACUCACGGGAAUCAAAGCAAAUGCUUAGCGAGCCUUCCUUUGUGCCAGGCACUGUUCUGAGCGCUCUAUGCAUAUGAAUUUGUUUAAUCCUCGCCACCACCUGGGAAGCAGAUACCAUUAUUAUUCCCAUUUUACAGGGGAGGAAACUGAGACAUAGAAAGGCAAAGUCAUUCAGAAUUAAGGUCACACAGUUCGUAGAAGACGGCUGAACACAAGAGGCCUGGUUCCAGACUCCAUGCCCUUAGCCAGUAAUUAUUAUUUCUGCUAAAAUAAUUGCAAUCACUAUUAUUAUGCUGACAGGUUUAGGGGCUUGCUCUGACCAGA
rnacentral:lncRNA from 10 species